UGUAUAUAAAUUACAAAAAAAAAUAAAAUAUAUUUUAGGUAAACGAGAAUGAUAAAAAUGACGGUACAGUCUUCGAAAUAACUUGAAGAAAUAUCUAUUCUCUUCUAUUAAUUUUGUUUAUUUUAUUAAUCGAUAAAAUAAAAAAAAAAAAAAAAAAAGAUUUAAACAUCAAAAUGUGCACAUGUAACGCACUGGCGUAAAAUGAGAAUUCUCUCGUCUUAAUUUUAAUGGAUUUCUAAUUAGAAAAUAAAAAAAUAAAAAAGAAAGUAAAGAAGAAAACAAAAACGUUCUUGGGAAUUUCGUUUUCUUUCUUUCGUACCGUACUGUACCGUCAUACCGUAGAGCAUGCAUGACAAUUCUUGAUCGAAAGACGUGUUAUGGUAGUGAACAGAUAACCAAAAAGUUAAAAUCAAAAGAAAAUUCGAGUCAGAAUAAAGUGGAUUCCAAAAUCUACGAUAUUUUCAUUCGAGGAGUGCAAAAAACUAUGUGCUUAAAUGAAAGGAUCUAUGUAAAAGAAAGGAAAAACGAAUCAUAAUGUUGGAAAGUGUGCAUAAAAGAAUCUUCUCAAUCAAUAUCAUUGCUGAACAAGAUCAACAACGACUGACUGACUUACUGGUGAUCAUCGCUGGAUUUAACAACAAACCUUGGAGAUUUUCCUCUAUUUGAACGCCUUAAAUGAUUACUUUUUAAAAUAUAUGUAUAAUGCAUUUCUGAAGGCACACAUAUGUUUAUACAUUAAAAAUUAAAUAUAGUUAUAUAAAAUUCUA